AUGUUACAACAACUCAAGUUUUACCUAAGCUUAAUUUCAAAUACAUCAUCAAAACUUCAAAGUUUCAAAGAAAUUCAAAAAGAUAUACAAGAUAUUCGAGUUUCUAGAUUCACUUCAAGAACUACAUUUCAAAGUUCUAUGCCUAACAUUCUUCGGAUGUUACAAAGUUUUGAUUCCUUAAGCUUUCUGAUAUCAACCAUGCCAAACAUCUCCAUCUUUCCUCUAGGCCACGGCUUCCUCAUUGUUUCUUUAAGAGUUCUUCAAACUUCAUAG